rnacentral:rRNA from 1 species
AGAGUUUGAUCAUGGCUCAGGACGAACGCUGGCGGCGUGCUUAACACAUGCAAGUCGAGCGGAAAGGCCACUUCGGUGGUACUCGAGCGGCGAACGGGUGAGUAACACGUGAGUAAUCUGCCCUUGGCUUUGGGAUAGCCACCGGAAACGGUGAUUAAUACCGAAUAUGACCACUUCACGCAUGUGAUGGUGGUGGAAAGUUUUUCGGCCAGGGAUGUGCUCGCGGCCUAUCAGCUUGAUGGUGAGGUAAUGGCUCACCAUGGCUUCGACGGGUAGCCGGCCUGAGAGGGUGACCGGUCACACUGGGACUGAGACACGGCCCAGACUCCUACGGGAGGCAGCAGUGGGGAAUAUUGGACAAUGGGCGGAAGCCUGAUCCAGCAACGCCGCGUGAGGGAUGACGGCCUUCGGGUUGUAAACCUCUUUCGGUGGGGACGAAGCGCAAGUGACGGUACCCACUAAAGAAGCACCGGCCAACUACGUGCCAGCAGCCGCGGUAAUACGUAGGGUGCGAGCGUUGUCCGGAAUUAUUGGGCGUAAAGGGCUCGUAGGCGGUUUGUCGCGUCGGGAGUGAAAACGCCGUGCUUAACACGGCGCUUGCUUUCGAUACGGGCAGACUAGAGGUAUUCAGGGGAGAACGGAAUUCCUGGUGUAGCGGUGAAAUGCGCAGAUAUCAGGAGGAACACCGGUGGCGAAGGCGGUUCUCUGGGAAUGACCUGACGCUGAGGAGCGAAAGUGUGGGGAGCGAACAGGAUUAGAUACCCUGGUAGUCCACACCGUAAACGUUGGGCGCUAGGUGUGGGGGUCCAUUCCACGGAUUCCGUGCCGCAGCUAACGCAUUAAGCGCCCCGCCUGGGGAGUACGGCCGCAAGGCUAAAACUCAAAUGAAUUGACGG